rnacentral:rRNA from 1 species
AUUGAACGCUGGCGGCAGGCCUAACACAUGCAAGUCGAGAGGAGCGGCGGACGGGUGAGUAAUGCCUAGGAAUCGGCCUGGUAGUGGGGGAUAACGUCCGGAAACGGGCGCUAAUACCGCAUCCUAUCAGAUGAACCUAGGUCGGAUUAGCUAGUUGGGGGGGUAAAGGCCUCCCAAGGCGACGAUCCGUACCUGGUCUGAGAGGAUGAUCAGUCACACUGGCACUGAGACACGGUCCAGACUCUUACGGGAGGAAGCAGUGGGGAAUCUUGGUCAAGGGGUGAAAGCCUGAUCCAGCCAUGUCGCGUGUGUGAAGAAGGUCUUCGGAUUGUAAAGCACUUUAAGUUGGGAGGCGUUACCAACAGAAUAAGCACCGGCUAACUUCGUGCCAGCAGCCGCGGUAAUUC